UUUCGCAUAACAACCCUUAAAAUGCUAAGCAAUACUGGCAUUAAAACUGUCAGUACAAUUCAAGAUUGUCUUGGAGACAGCAGACAUUGAGAAAUGAAAGGAAGAAUUUGGAAUUGUGGACAAAAUUCAUAAGAUAGUCAUGUUGGAGCUAGUAGCAUGAAAACCACCUAUCAUCCACCACUUUAUUUUACAGUAUCCUGCUGACUGCCUGUGAUGGACUCGAGGAGUUGAGGGCAAUGAUGGAC